UGGGCUUUCAGGAUUAUCUGUGCCGUCCC
rnacentral:piRNA from 1 species